GGCCUGAUGGCUCAGUGGUAGGGUGCGCACAGAAAUUCCCCGUCUCUACCAUAUGUCGGUGCGAGGUGUGAGUUCGACUCUCACUCAGGCCA